rnacentral:rRNA from 1 species
CAAGUGUAAGUACGAGCUCGAGUACAGUGAAACUGCGAAUGGCUCAUUAAAUCAGUUAUGGUUCAUUUGAUCGUACGCUUUAAUACAUGGAUAACUGUGGCAAUUCUAGAGCUAAUACAUGCGUGAAGCGCCGACUUUACGGGAGGCGCGCAUUUAUCAGACCAAAACCGACCGGGCUUCGGCCCGUACUGUAAUGGUGACUCUGGAUAAGCUCGCGGAUCGCACGGUCUUGCACCGGCGACAUCUCUUUAAAGCAACUGCCCUAUCAACUAUCGUCGGUACGGUAUCGGCCUACCGAGGUUGUAACGGGUGACGGAGAAUCAGGGUUCGAUUCCGGAGAGGGAGCCUGAGAAACGGCUA